rnacentral:lncRNA from 1 species
AGGAGAGUCAGGUCACUCCGCUCAGCAGCCUGAGGUUGCAGCAGGAAUAGCAGCACACAGCUAGCCAGGGGAGGACUGCAGCAUGGAGAAGAGGAAGUCACGCAAACAACUGAUAAAGCAGUGAGCGGGAAACUCAGCUCCAAAGCCGACAAACAUCAACAAGGUGAAACUGCUCCUUGGUUCCUCGUCUUCCAGAUCUCCUUUCCGAUCAAGCUACCCUUCCUUGAUCAUGCUUCUAGUAAUCAGUCCCAGGAUCCACUGGCAAACGUGCACCAAGCCCAGGAGAGGGGACUCAACCCAGGAAGUAAACCUGUGGGGAGCAGGAGAGGGGACAAAGGCACAGUGGCUGAUACAGGACCAGCCCGGCUCUAGCUGUGUGACCUCUGCUGGCCAUGAGGCCACUGAAGUGUGUGUCCCACUGGUAAAGGCAGCAGGAAUGAUUCCCAAGAUGAGGCCUAUCUCGGGGAACUGCAGGAGAUGGCCGGGACAUGCCCAGUGCCCUGUGGGUGAUAGAGGAGAGCACAGAUACCCCCGAGCGAUGAAGAAACUGACUGUUUAAAGGAUUGUAACCGAGACGGAAACCUUGCUCUUGGAGGAGAGGAAGGUAAGAUUAACACUGCCUAAGGCGACAGGAAGGUGAUGGGCCUUUCAGGUCUCCCUUGGAUCCUGCCUGGGAGCCCCCUGCUCUGCCAGGCUCAAGGCUGGCCCGAGGCUGGGCACACCCUCAGAGGGCUGCAGUCAGGACUCUACUCCAGCUGAAGGAUCUGAGUCCAGCACACAGAAGGAAGAAUGGAAGAAUAAACGGGGUUAGACUGGGGCAUGGUAGCAGAAAUAGACCAGAUUCUCAUGGCACUUUCGGGUUCCUGUGCAGAUGGAGAUUUUUCUUUUUCCUUUUAAACACAAGAAAACAAAGACCCUGUAGCCCUGAUGGAGAAGAGACCCUGAUGGAGACUCCUGAGUCCCCACUGCCUGAGAAGAGAUCUAUCUGCUAGCACCUCCCACUGUCGCCUGGAAGGGGAUCAGGGAAGGAAGGAGGACGAGGGGAAGGAGGGGAGAGGAAGAACAGGAAGAAGGGGGAGGAAGCAAAGUGCAUAAAACAAUUUGUUGCAUGGAAGACAAAAUGCAAAUUUCUCCAGUGCUGGCAAAGUCCUCUACAUUAUGAAUUCAACUCAUCAAGCUGUCCGGGUCCUGUUCUAAGUCACCGCGGUGAAAAACUCUCCUGAAAUUGCUUCUCUCUUCACUCACCUGCCCUCUUCCGCCAUCUUUGAGGGUAUCCGACAGGAAAAUCUGGUUUGGAAACAAGGUGGAAAACCUGAUCCUUCCUUUCCUGGGUUCUGCUUGCAAACUUAGAGGUCUCAUGUGUGUAGCUCUCCACCGCAGCCAGGACGCAGGGACAAAGUUCCCAGGUAACUGCGAUAGGGUCAGGACCAGUCUAGGCAGGUCAUUUUCCCCCUCCAUCCAACCCUAAGUGACUUGGCAGUGGAACCCUCCACAUCCCCACGGGGUCGCCUGACCCUGUGGAAGACUUGCUGGUAAAAGAAGCAGUGUAUUUCCUACCUGGAACAGAAUCAGCAAACGGGAGACGGCUCCUUGCACCCGUUCAUGUGGGAGGCAUCACACUGAGCACCUCAUCUCUCCCCCCACUUUUAUCUUGGAGGCGCUGCGCACUCUGGAAUUUGUAGCUAAGGCUUCAUAAAGACACAAGAGCCACAAGCGAUGAGGGCCGCUGACAGACAUCGGACAUUAGAGAAGCGCUGGACAGGCGGUGGCUGUCCAGCUCCAGCCCACAGGCAAGAGGCAGCUGCCCUAUCCAGAGGUGACCGGACAGAGCGGGAGAGGCAAAGGCGGAAGCACUUGGAUCUUUCUGAAGGUGAAAACUUACCUGAGGAUUUCUGCAAAGCCUCUACCCAACCUGGCUAAAUUUUAUUUUGCUGUUCGAUACAGAAAAAAAU